GUGCCAGCCGCCGCGGUAAUACCGGCAGCUCAAGUGAUGGCCACUCUUAUUGGGCCUAAAGCGUCCGUAGCUGGCCGCGCAAGUCCGUCGGGAAAUCCAUCAGCCCAACUGAUGGGCGUCCGGCGGAAACUGCAUGGCUUGGGACCGGAAGGCUCGAGAGGUACGUCCGGGGUAGGAGUGAAAUCCCGUAAUCCCGAACGGACCACCGAUGGCGAAAGCACUCUGAGAAGACGGCUUCGACAGUGAGGGACGAAAGCUAGGGUCUCAAACCGGAUUAGAUACCCGAGUAGUCC
rnacentral:rRNA from 1 species